UAGCCAACGACACGUGCCUUU
rnacentral:siRNA from 1 species